GACGAACGCUGGCGGCGUGCUUAACACAUGCAAGUCGAACGGAAAGGCCCUGCUUUUGUGGGGUGCUCGAGUGGCGAACGGGUGAGUAACACGUGAGUAACCUGCCCUUGACUUUGUGAUAACUUCAGGAAACUGGGGCUAAUACCGGAUAGGAGCUCCUGCUGCAUGGUGGGGGUUGGAAUGUUUCGGCGGUUGGGGAUGGACUCGCGGCUUAUCAGCUUGUUGGUGGGGUAGUGGCUUACCAAGGCUUUGACGGGUAGCCGACCUGAGAGGGUGACCGGCCAGAAUGGGACUGAGAUACGGCACAGACUCCAACGGGAGGCAGGAGAGGGGAAUAGUGCAGAAUGGGAGGAAGCAUGAUGCAGAAAAGCGGCGUGCGGGAUGACGGCCUUCGGGUUGUAAAGCGAUUUCGAAUGAGAAGAAGAGAGAGUGACGGUAAUGGGUAAAGAAGCACCGGCUAACUACGUG
rnacentral:rRNA from 1 species